AUUGAACGCUGGCGGCAGGCCUAACACAUGCAAGUCGAGCGGAUGAAGGGAGCUUGCUCCUGGAUUCAGCGGCGGACGGGUGAGUAAUGCCUAGGGAUCUGCCUGGUAGUGGGGGAUAACGUCCGGAAACGGGCGCUAAUACCGCAUACGUCCUGAGGGAGAAAGUGGGGGAUCUUCGGACCUCACGCUAUCAGAUGAGCCUAGGUCGGAUUAGCUAGUUGGUGGGGUAAAGACCUACCAAGGCGACGAUCCGUAACUGGUCUGAGAGGAUGAUCAGUCACACUGGAACUGAGACACGGUCCAGACUCCUACGGGAGGCAGCAGUGGGGAAUAUUGGACAAUGGGCGAAAGCCUGAUCCAGCCAUGCCGCGUGUGUGAAGAAGGUCUUCGGAUUGUAAAGCACUUUAAGUUGGGAGGAAGGGCAGUAAGUUAAUACCUUGCUGUUUUGACGUUACCAACAGAAUAAGCACCGGCUAACUUCGUG
rnacentral:rRNA from 1 species